GCCGGUCUAGCGUAGUGGAAACGCGUCAGUCUUGUAAACUGAAGGUCGGCAGUUUGAUUCUACCAUUCGGCU